AUGGCAUGUGGGCUGAGCUGGCUUCUCCUGGUGGCUGUGUUGGGAGGGGUUCAGUGUGAGGUGCAGCUGGUGGAGUCUGGCUUGGUGAAGCCCGAGGGGAACCUGAGACUCUCCUGUGUGGCCUGUGGAUUCAAUUUUGGCAGCUAUGCAAUGGGCUGGGUCAGUCAGGCUCCAGGGAAGGGACUAGAGUGGCUUUCAACCAUCAGUCAUGGUGGUAGUAAAAUAUACUAUGCCGACUCGGUCAAAGGCCGAUUCACCAUCUCCAGAGACAACAGCAAGAACACACUCUCUCUGCAAAUGAGCAGCCUGAGGGUGCAGGACACGGCCCUGUACUACUGUGUGAAAGACACAGUGAGAGGAAUGCACAUGUCUGACAUCAUGACCUCGUGGGAGGAAUGUGCAUCAGUGUUGGUUCCUCCUCUUUCUGGUGGCAGCUCCUGGAUUGUCCUGUCCCAGGCACAGCUGCAGGAGUCGAGAUCAAGCCUGGUGACGCCCUGGCAGAUGCUGUCCCUCACCUGCUCGGUCUCUGGAUUCCCUAUAACUAGCAGCAGCUCUGGUAUAGACUGGUUCCACCAGCUUCCUGGAAAGCGGCUGGACUGGAUUGGUGGCAGAAAUAGUGCAGGGAGCACGUUUUAUAUUCCAAGUCUUCAGUCCUGA